rnacentral:rRNA from 1 species
UACGUAGGGUCCGAGCGUUGUCCGGAAUUACUGGGCGUAAAGAGCUCGUAGGUGGUUUGUCGCGUUGUUCGUGAAAACUCACAGCUCAACUGUGGGCGUGCGGGCGAUACGGGCAGACUUGAGUACUGCAGGGGAGACUGGAAUUCCUGGUGUAGCGGUGGAAUGCGCAGAUAUCAGGAGGAACACCGGUGGCGAAGGCGGAUCUCUGGGCCUUACCUGACGCUGAGGCGCGAAAGCUAGGGGAGCGAACAGG